ACCAGGAGAAGCAACGGAAGCGUGAGGCUGAGGAGCGGCGCCGCUUUCCCCUGGAGCAGCGGCUGAAGGAGCACAUCAUUGGCCAGGAGAAUGCCAUUGCCACAGUGGGUGCUGCGAUCCGGAGGAAAGAGAAUGGCUGGUACGACGAAGAACACCCUCUGGUCUUCCUCUUUUUGGGAUCAUCUGGAAUAGGAAAGACAGAGCUGGCCAAGCAGACAGCCAAAUAUAUGCACAAAGAUGCCAAAAAGG